CCCCUAGAACUUUGAAGGGGAUAAAUCGUGGGUUAUGCCUCAACUGGAUCACAGGUUCUCCCCAUUGAGUGUACACUUCUGCGUACAAAAAACCCUCCUCCACAGUGAUUGCUCCAUACCAAAAUUUUGGUUGCAGGUUCCCACCAGGAAUCGAACUCUCCACCCUGCCGUUGGAAGCAAGCCAAUGUUGAUUGAUCCACCAGUUGAGCUGUGCCCCGAGGGGCUAUCAAAGUUCUACUUUACUUCCAAUAAAGCAGGACUAUAACGAAAAAAUUCAGCAAGUAAUCAGAUUCUUGAAUUGUUCAUAUGUAUCAUAUUUAAAAGGGAGCAUUUCAAAAUGAUUGUGUUUUUUACAUUGAUUUUUGCCCAUGUCAAGUUACAAAUGCGUCAUAUUUAAGAAAAUUGGAAGGUCCAAUUUCUUAUGGGGGUCUCUGAUCGUUGUUUGGUCGAAAGCUAGUAGUCGACAAUAUGCCAAAGGCUAAACUCAAGAAUCAACCCGGAAAAAUUAACACACAGUUUUGGAUUGUUCUAUUAUUUCUCAACAAAAGAUCAAUUAUCAUUUUUGUUGAGUCUUAUUCCUUCAACAAUUUUAUAAGCAAUCUCCAUAGACGAUCCCAUCAACUGUGUCAAAUACACAUAUAUCACACGUUCCCAUUAGUGGCGAAUCCAGCACCGAAGUCCAGUUAGGGUGGAGCUCGACCGUUGACCAUCAAAAGUAUUGUAUGUGUUCAGUUUUGAAUAAGAAAAUUAAAGUUUUUUUUUCUUUUAUUUGUAUAGCUUGAUUAAGUAACAUUUUCUUUAAUUUUUUUUUUUUUAUAUAAUCUCAAAACAUUUCUACUCUGUCACAUUUUGAAAUUUAUCGUAGUCAUGCUCUAAAUGUUUUAGCAUGAUUAUGUAAUAAUUGAAAAGGCAAGGAGUGUUAAUAUAAAUAUCUGUGAGGACUGGUUUUGCACCUAUUUUGAAAGGUCAGCACCCACUUCUACUUUCUCAAUAGAUUAGGGACCAACCACGGAUUUCAAUAAUUUUUAAUAACGAAAAUGGUUAGUAAUAAUCAUAAAAGUAAGACAUAACAUAAUACUGAGACAAAUAUUAUUUGGAAGAAAAGUGCUCUAUUGCUGUCAUCUUGAUACAAAAGUAAGAAAUAAAUAAAUAAAUAUUACUUCAAAAAACAACAUGGCCUUCGGGAACUCUUAACACCGGUACACACCCACUUAUCACAUACGCUAAAAUGAAAUCCCAAAUUUAAGCUAGAAAACACAAAUUUAAGCUGGAAAAGAACAUAGAUAACAUGUCAUAAACUGGUAAUCCUGAGGAAGAAAAGAAAGUUGUAACUAACCAACACAAACCAUGUAAGAAAUGGUAGCAAAGGCAUCUUUCUUUGUCAUGGUGGGGCUUUUCUUGCCACCUUUGGCAUCAGCGGUGGAAUUAGAAAUCAGAAGCAGCAGAUUCUUGGAGGAUUCUGUAUUGUUGCCGCCUGCCAAUUGCCUUUCACAGUUUCACGAUUUGGU
rnacentral:lncRNA from 1 species